AGAAUACUAAAGUCCAUAACGAUGAAGCUGCGCCUUGCUCCUUCUUGGCCAUUUAUGGAGGGCGUGUUGAACCCACUCCACUCACCCACAGUUCCCUGAUGUGAGCACACUGUGAUAUAGAGAUCCCUGCUCUCAUGACGCUGAUGUUCCAGAGGAAGCAGGCAGUCAACUAGCAUAUUAACAAUGAGAUCAUUUCAACUAGAAGUCAUCUAGCUCCUCAUUCCAUUGUAAGCCGAGUCUCUAUGUCAGGAUGGCAAAUAGAUUUACAACUGGACUGUCACCUCUCAGGGAUGACUGGAGCACUGGAUGGAAAAGCAUUCUGCAGUCAUUCCAGAAUUCCGUAGGAAAGAUGCCACUGCAAUCCCAUAUGCAUCCCUGUCCUGUGAUACUCCUGCACUAGAAUUAGGUCAUUGGUGGCCUCCAUGAGAAUUCUUUCAGUCUCAAGUGUGAGAGAAGAUAAAAUGAAGGAAAGGAAGGAGUUAUCCUUAAAACUCUUUAGGAAUUAAAUAAAGAAAAAGCUCUCACGGUGAUCUUGCUCUUGGUUCCAGAAAAUUUGAAUUUCAAGGAGAUAAAAAUAGGUAUUAUGUUUAAUUUCCGCUCAUUUCUCUCCAAGGGAUUCUCUCUCCAAGAAUUUUAUUUUAGGUGCUGCUUUCUCUCAAUACCAUCUUUAAAAGAUACUUGUCUUUCUGAAGGAUCUUCCCAGCACCCAGCAGCAGGCAAGCAUUGUAUGAAGCCCAGCUUGGCUGUCAGGAGGAUAGACUGUUCAAUGAACAUCAGUUCAGAAAAAAAAGAAGGGAAGAAGAUGUUGAUUCUAUAACAAAGAGAGAGUAGCAGGUUUCUGUUCUAGAAAGGCAGCACCUUGGGAAAUUUUUAAAAAUGAAAAUUCCCAUCCGUGCCCUCACUUGCUUUUCUCUUCUCAACAAGGGAACUGGAAACUCAAACUAUGAAAAAUAAAAUCAUAUUUUGAACAGAUUUCUUAUAAAAUACCUUUGCCUGCCCAGAGGCAUGAAUGGAUAGACUAGCUUAAAUUGUUUCUCAAAAAGAACUGUUUCUGUUUCUUCCUCCUAUUCCUCUUUUUCUGUCUCCUCUUUCUCCUCUUCCUCCUUUAUUAUUUUAUUUUGAACAUUGUUUUCUAUUUUAAAAUUGCUUAUUUGCUUAU
rnacentral:lncRNA from 1 species